rnacentral:rRNA from 1 species
GAUGAACGCUAGCGGGAGGCUUAACACAUGCAAGUCGGGCGGCAGCACGGUCUUCGGACUGGUGGCGAGCGGCGCACGGGUGCGUAACGCGUAUGCAACCUGCCUUAUGCAGGGGGAUAGCCCAUGGAAACGUGGAUUAAUACCCCAUAACAUCAUCUGAUCGCAUGGUUAGAUGAUUAAAAUUUCGGUGGCAUAAGAUGGGCAUGCGUCUGAUUAGCUUGUUGGUGAGGUAACGGCUCACCAAGGCGACGAUCAGUAGGGGUCCUGAGAGGGUUACCCCCCACACUGGUACUGAGACACGGACCAGACUCCUACGGGUGGCAG